rnacentral:lncRNA from 1 species
CACCUUGGCUGUGAAACGGGGUGUGUGUGGAGGGCUGGUGGGGAGGGGGCAGCCUGCGGGCGGGGACGUGGAGACGCGCAGGCUGGGGGCGGCGCAGGCGGGCUGAGGGGUCCUGGGCUCGCCAGGGCCUCGUCUGGGGUUAUGACUCCCGCGGGAAGCACGACUGCUUCGGAGAGUUCUCCACCGCCUUCGAGGAGAUGCAGAAAGCCUUUGGGGAGAACCAGUGGGACUGUGUGAACCCCAAGUACAAGCAGAAGAGGCGCAGUUACACGAACUCGGGCGUGGCCUUGCUGGCCGACCCGAAGGUGGCCGUUGACUUCACCCUCGGAACAGCUGCUCCCUCCACUAUAUCAACUCCUUCCAGCCCAGCGAGUACCUGCAGGCCCUGGUGGCCGUGGGCGAGAUCUGCCAGGACUAUGACAGCGACAAGAGGCUCUCUGCUUUGGGGUUUGGAGCCCAGAUCCCUCCCAAGGAUGAGGUGUCCCAUGACUUUGCCAUCAAUUUCAACCUGGAGGACGGCAUCCAGGGCAUGGUGGAGGCGUCCCAGAACUGCCUGCCCAGGGUCCAGCUGUAUGGCCACCACGUGGCUCCCAUCAUCUCCAAGGUGGCCUGCACGGCUGCAGCUGAGGAACGCAGCGGAGAGGCUCCUGUAGGUGGUGGGCGGGCACUGCGGGGACCGCGUGCCUUAGAAGGUGUGCCUGCUGCUGGGGAGGUGGGACCGGAUGGGGGUUUGCAGAGGUUGACAGAGCAGCCCGCGGGAGGCCCUGAGGCAGGGAGCGAGAGGCAGCUGGGUGGCAGUGGGGCUGAGAGACCAGGAGGCCCCAGAGCCAGUGGGGUAAGGUGAAUUCUUGCCCUGGAGGCUGACUUGCCGAGCCCGCAGGCAGCCCGAUGCUUAUGGUUCUCUUGGUCCAAUUGUGUAUACGUCGUUAUUUUUUUUUUUUUUUUUGUCUUUUUUUUGUUGUUGUUGUUGCUAUUUCUUUGGGCCGCUCCCACAGCAUAUGGAGGUACCCAGGCUAGGGGUUGAAUCGGAGCUGUAGCCACCGGCCUACGCCAGAGCCACAGCAACGCAGGAUGCGAGCUGCGGCUGCAACCUACACCACAGCUCACGGCAACGCCGGAUCGUUAACCCACUGAGCAAGGGCAGGGACCGAACCCGCAACCUCAUGGUUCCUAGUCGGAUUCGUUAACCACUGCGCCACGACGGGAACUCCCAUACGUCGUUAUUUUGUUUGCAUGUGCUCUUGUUUGGUUUUUUUGCUUUUUGAGGGUUGCACCCAAAGCAUAUGGAGGUUCCCAGGCUAGGGGUUGAAUCAGAGCUACACCUGCUGGCCUACACCACAGCCACAGCAACGCCAGAUCCUUAACCCACCGAGCAAGAGCAGGGAUCUUGCUCAACCUCACGGUUCCUAACUGGAUUCGUUUCCGCUGCACCAUGACAAGAACUCCUGUUUGCAUGUGUGUGUUUUUUUGUUUUUGUUUUUGUCUUUUUUAGGGCCACAUCUGCGGCAUGUGGAGGUUCCCAGGCUAGGGGUCUACUCGGAGCUACAGCUGCCGGCCUACACCAGAGCCACAGCAACGUGGGAUCCGAGCCAUGUCUGCCACCUACACCACAGCUCACAACAAUGGGGGAUCCUUAACGUACUGAGUGAGGCC